UACGGAGGGUGCAAGCGUUACUCGGAAUUACUGGGCGUAAAGCGCACGCAGGUGGCUGAGUCAGUCGAUUGUGAAAGCCCUGGGCUUAACCUGGGAAUUGCAGUCGAUACUGCUUAGCUAGAGUAUGGGAGAGGGCAGUGGAAUUCCCGGUGUAGCGGUGAAAUGCGUAGAUAUCGGGAGGAACAUCAGUGGCGAAGGCGGCUGCCUGGCCCAAUACUGACACUCAGGUGCGACAGCGUGGGGAGCGAACGGG
rnacentral:rRNA from 1 species